AUACGUAGGGUGCAAGCGUUAAUCGGAAUUACUGGGCGUAAAGCGUGCGCAGGCGGUUUUGUAAGACAGUGGUGAAAUCCCCGGGCUCAACCUGGGAACUGCCAUUUUGACUGCAAAGCUGGAGUGCGGCAGAGGGGGAUGGGAUUCCGCGUGUAGCAGUGAAAUGCGUAGAUAUGCGGAGGAACACCGAUGGCGAAGGCAAUCCCCUGGGCCUGCACUGACGCUCAUGCACGAAAGCGUGGGGAGCAAACAGGAUUAGAUACCCUGGUAGUCCACGCCCUAAACGAUGUCAACUGGUUGUUGGGGAUUUAUUUUCUCAGUAACGAAGCUAACGCGUGAAGUUGACCGCCUGGGGAGUACGGCCGCAAGGUUAAAACUUAAAGGAAUUGACGGGG
rnacentral:rRNA from 1 species